rnacentral:rRNA from 1 species
GCACCUUUCAAGUGAGUGGCGAACGGCGUUCUUUAACACGUGGACAACCUGCCUCAAGGCUGGGGAUAACAUUUGGAAACAGAUGCUAAUACCGAAUAAAACUUAGUGUCGCAUGACACAAAGUUAAAAGGCGCUUCGGCGUCACCUAGAGAUGGAUCCGCGGUGCAUUAGUUAGUUGGUGGGGUAAAGGCCUACCAAGACAAUGAUGCAUAGCCGAGUUGAGAGACUGAUCGGCCACAUUGGGACUGAGACACGGCCCAAACUCCUACGGGAGGCUGCAGUAGGGAAUCUUCCACAAUGGGCGAAAGCCUGAUGGAGCAACGCCGCGUGUGUGAUGAAGGCUUUCGGGUCGUAAAGCACUGUUGUAUGGGAAGAACAGCUAGAAUAGGAAAUGAUUUUAGUUUGACGGUACCAUACCAGAAAGGGACGGCUAAAUACGUGCCAGCAGCCGCGGUAAUACGUAUGUCCCGAGCGUUAUCCGGAUUUAUUGGGCGUAAAGCGAGCGCAGACGGUUUAUUAAGUCUGAUGUGAAAGCCCGGAGCUCAACUCCGGAAUGGCAUUGGAAACUGGUUAACUUGAGUGCAGUAGAGGUAAGUGGAACUCCAUGUGUAGCGGUGGAAUGCGUAGAUAUAUGGAAGAACACCAGUGGCGAAGGCGGCUUACUGGACUGCAACUGACGUUGAGGCUCGAAAGUGUGGGUAGCAAACAGGAUUAGAUACCCUGGUAGUCCACACCGUAAACGAUGAACACUAGGUGUUAGGAGGUUUCCGCCUCUUAGUGCCGAAGCUAACGCAUUAAGUGUUCCGCCUGGGGAGUACGACCGCAAGGUUGAAACUCAAAGGAAUUGACGGGGACCCGCACAAGCGGUGGAGCAUGUGGUUUAAUUCGAAGCAACGCGAAGAACCUUACCAGGUCUUGACAUCCUUUGAAGCUUUUAGAGAUAGAAGUGUUCUCUUCGGAGACAAAGUGACAGGUGGUGCAUGGUCGUCGUCAGCUCGUGUCGUGAGAUGUUGGGUUAAGUCCCGCAACGAGCGCAACCCUUAUUGUUAGUUGCCAGCAUUCAGAUGGGCACUCUAAGCGAAACUGCCGGUGAAAAACCGGAAGGAAGGCGGGGGACCAACGUCCAGAUCAUCAUGCCCCUUAUGAACCUGGGGCUAACCCCGUGGCUAAAAGGGGGUUUAAAAACAAGAUUUGCCCCCCCCCCCGGGGGGGAACUAUUCUUUUUAAAAGACCUCUCCCUUUCCGGAAUUGUGACCCCCCCACCCCCCCCCCACUGAAAAUCCCGAAAACCCCUAGAAAUCCCCGGAAAAACCCCCCCCCGG